GACAGAGGUGCCAAGCGUUUAGGCGGAAUCACUGGGCUUAAAGCGUGUGUAGGCGGAUGUCUAAGUACCUUGUGAAAUCCCACGCUCACCGUGGAACUGCUUGGUAUACUGGACGUCUUGAGCCAUCUAAGGGCUACCGGAACAAUGGUGGAGCGGUGAAAUCGUAGAUAUCAUUGGAACGCCAAUGUAAAACAGGUAGCUGGGGAUGUGCUGACGUGGAGA
rnacentral:rRNA from 1 species